GUGUGUAAAGAGAGAAGGCAAAGAGGGUCUGGCAUUUGGGCGGCGACGAUUGAGUUGCUGCUGCUACUGCUACUGCUACUGCUGCUGCUCAAAAAAUGGAUUGCAACAACGACAAGUACAUAUAAAUACCCCUUCUCCUUCUUUCUAUCAUUUUAGCUUCUGGGUACUUUCGGAUGUGGGUUUUUUGCUUUCUGAUUUACCUGGUGGUUCAUUGUUUUGUACUUUUAGCAUAAUUUUUUGUACUGUAUGGCUUAAAGCAAAAUGCCCAAAUGCGGAUUAUUAUAUUCUGCUAAUUUAGCUUAAUAUUUUAUGUAGUUG
rnacentral:lncRNA from 1 species